rnacentral:rRNA from 1 species
GACGAACGCUGGCGGCGUGCUUAACACAUGCAAGUCGAACGGAAAGGCCUGCUUUCCCUUGUGGAUUGCGGGUACUCGAGUGGCGAACGGGUGAGUAACACGUGAGUGAUCUGCCCCCAACUUGGGUAUAAGCCUGGGAAACUGGGUCUAAUUCCCGAUAGGACUGCAGGGUGGUGCCUGUGGUGGAAAACGAUUUUCUAGUGGUUGGGGAUGAGCUCGCGGCCUAUCAGCUUGUUGGUGGGGUAAUGGCCUACCAAGGCGGCGACGGGUAGCCGGCCUGGGAGGGUGGACGGCCACAUUGGGACUGGGAUACGGCCCAGACUCCUACGGGAGGCAGCAGUGGGGAAUAUUGCACAAUGGGCGGAAGCCUGAUGCAGCGACGCCGCGUGGGGGAUGACGGCCUUCGGGUUGUAAACUCCUUUCGACCGCGAGGAAGCCACCUGGUUGGAAGGGUGGUGACGGUAGUGGUAGAAGAAGCACCGGCUAACUACGUG